rnacentral:tRNA from 1 species
GCCGGAGUGGCGGAACUGGCAGACGCGCGGGUCUUAAAAUCCUGUGCCCCCGAAGGGCGUGUGGGUUCGACCCCCACCUCCGGCACCA